GGUAGAAUGUAUAAACAAAGUUGCAACCUUUACAGGGUUAUGAGGUCAGUGGUUCGGAUAUUGUAUGGAACGUGGUUCGAAGUCUCGGUCGAGACCGACUGAGACGACUCGGCCGGAUCAUCACCGUCUCGGCCUCUACCGAUACGAUACCGUGACGAAACGAUACCAAAAUACUUGACUCGCCGAGAAAUUGGCCGAGUCGUCACCGUGACGGAUUGACUCGGCCGAGUUACACCGAGUUAUCUCGAGUCAAAAUGAGAAAUCAGCCGAGUCACACCGUGACGGAUUGACUUGGCCGUUUCUUUUGCUAUUUUUUAAUUAUUUUUAUUUAGCAUACUUUUUUAUAUUAUUAAUAAUUUUUAGA
rnacentral:lncRNA from 1 species